GAAAUCUAUAUUAUAAUAAUAAUAUCGAAAUGUCGUGUAUAGGUUUUAUUAUUAUUAAUAAAUUAUUAUUAAAUAAUUGUAUUUAAAUAUACAGCCACAGAAGGUGCCAGCCCUGUUAUUUAAUAAUAUUUAUUAAAUUUAUAAAACUUUAGAGUCGUGUUGCUUGGAAGUGCAGCACAAAGUUGGUGAUAAACAUCAUCUAAGGCUAAAUAUUCCUAUGAAUCCGAUAGCGAACAAGUACUGUGAAGGAAAAUUGCAAAGUACUCCGGAGAGAGAGUUAAAGAGGACGUGAAACCGAUACGAUGGAAGCAUACAGAGCCAGUUGCACUAUUAUUAAUAUAUUAUUUAUUAAUAAUUUUAAGCAUGGGUAUAUUGAUUAAUAAUUAAUUAUUUAUUAAAGAGUGAUAAAAUUUUUUAAAAUUUUGUUAACUUUAAUAAAAUAAUUAUAUUUUUAAUUAAUAUUUUUUUUUUAUAAAAUUAUUAAUGUAUUAAUAAUAUUAUAAUUAAUUAAUAUAAUAUAAGACACAUGUGUUAAAUAUUAUUUAUUAAUAAUUAUUAUAUUAUUAUAAAUUAAUAAACCUAUGUAA
rnacentral:rRNA from 1 species